AGAGCGUCUGCUUUGUAAGCAGAAGGUCGUCAGUUCAAUCCUGGCAAGUAGCU
rnacentral:tRNA from 1 species